rnacentral:rRNA from 1 species
ACUCAAAUGAAUAGACGGGGACCCGCACAAGCGGUGGAUUAUGUGGAUUAAUUCGAUGCAACGCGAAAAACCUUACCUACCCUUGACAUGUCAGAAAGUAUUCAGAGAUGAAUUCGUGCCCGAAAGGGAGUCUGAACACAGGUGCUGCAUGGCUGUCGUCAGCUCGUGUCGUGAGAUGUUGGGUUAAGUCCCGCAACGAGCGCAACCCUUGUCAUUAAUUGCCAUCAUUUGGUUGGGCACUUUAAUGAGACUGCCGGUGACAAACCGGAGGAAGGUGGGGAUGACGUCAAGUCCUCAUGGCCCUUAUGGGUAGGGCUUCACACGUAAUACAAUGGCGCGUACAGAGGGUUGCCAACCUGCGAAGGGGAGCUAAUCUCAGAAAGCGCGUCGUAGUCCGGAUCGGAGUCUGCAACUCGACUCCGUGAAGUCGGAAUCGCUAGUAAUCGCGGAUCAGCAUGUCGCGGUGAAUACGUUCCCGGGUCUUGCACACACCGCCCGU